rnacentral:lncRNA from 1 species
UGAGGUCAACUUUGUGAUUAGCUAGGCUUGCUGAUGACCCUCUAUUUAAUAUUCUCCUUAUCUUUGGGCUUGAUACUCGUUUAAUUCGGCUAAUAUGCUUAAGAACCUAUUGUUCUGCAAGAAAGGAGUAAAAUAAUAGAUGGAGCUUGAGAGUCUAUUACCAUGGGGGUUAUGCAUUCUGUUUGAGAGCCUUUAGGUUCUGUUUGACUCUUCUUUAUUCUUUACCUUAGCUUGG